UAGGGAAUUUUCGGCAAUGGGCGAAAGCCUGACCGAGCAACGCCGCGUGAGGGAAGAAGGUCUUCGGAUCGUAAACCUUUGUCUUUGGGGACGAGAGAGGACGGUACCCAAGGAGGAAGCCACGGCUAACUACGUGCCAGCAGCCGCGGUAAUACGUAGGUGGCGAGCGUUGUCCGGAAUUACUGGGCGUAAAGGGCGUGUAGGCGGUUUUUUAAGUCAGGCGUGAAAACCCAAGGCUUAACCAUGGGAUUGCGUUUGAGACUGAAAGACUUGAGGAUCGGAGAGGGCAGUGGAAUUCCCAGUGUAGCGGUGAAAUGCGUAGAUAUUGGGAGGAACACCAGUGGCGAAGGCGGCUGCCUGGACGACACCUGACGCUGAGGCGCGAAAGCCAGGGGAGCAAACGGG
rnacentral:rRNA from 1 species